rnacentral:ncRNA from 2 species
AAAAAUAGAGUCAAUAUAAGUUCCUGCCCCGGCAGGAUAAUAGGGAAGACGGGUGAAAGUCCCGCACAAGUCCGUUACUGUAUAGUCAGAUACCUGCUUAUGUUGUUUGUAUUGU